AACUUAUCAAGAGUGGUGGAGGGACUGGCCCAAUGAAGCCCGGCAACCGGCCUGUUUUGGCGGCGGUGCCAACUCCUGCAGGAUAAAAGUUCCUGAGAGAUAAGGU
rnacentral:ncRNA from 2 species